rnacentral:rRNA from 1 species
GACGAACGCUGGCGGCGUGCUUAACACAUGCAAGUCGAACGGAAAGGCCCUGCUUUUGUGGGGUGCUCGAGUGGCGAACGGGUGAGUAACACGUGAGUAACCUGCCCUUGACUUUGGGAUAACUUCAGGAAACUGGGGCUAAUACCGGAUAGGAGCUCCUGCUGCCUGGUGGGGGUUGGAAAGUUUCGGCGGUUGGGGAUGGACUCUCGGCUUAUCAGCUUGUUGGUGGGGUAGUGGCUUACCAAGGCUUUGACGGGUAGCCGGCCUGAGAGGGUGACCGGCCACAUUGGGACUGAGAUACGGCCCAGACCCCUACGGGAGGCAGCAGGGGGGAAUAUUGCCCAAUGGGCGGAAGCCUGAUGCAGCAACGCCGCGUGCGGGAUGACGGCCUUCGGGUUGUAAACCGCUUUCGCCUGUGACGAAGCGUGAGUGACGGUAAUGGGUAAAGAAGCACCGGCUAACUACGUG